rnacentral:tRNA from 1 species
GGGGGUGUGGCUCAGUGGUACAGCACUGCCUGCUAAGACAUGAGGCCCUGAGUUCAAUUCCUGGUAUCCCUC